UUCUGAAUGGAGCUCAUGGGGCUGA
rnacentral:piRNA from 1 species